rnacentral:rRNA from 1 species
GACGUAGGGUGCGAGCGUUGUUCGGAUUACUGGCGUAAAGGGCGCGUAGGCGGCCUGGUCAGUCGGGUGUGAAAGCCCGGGCUCAACCCGGAACGGCACCCGAGACGGCCAGGCUGGAGACCGGGAGAGGAGGGUGGAAUAGCCAGUGUAGAGGUGAAAUUCGUAGAUAUUGGCUGGAACACCGGUGGCGAAAGCGGCUCUCUGGCCCGGUUCUGACGCUGAGGCGCGAAAGCGUGGGGAGCAAACAGG